GAAGAUCGGUGGGGGUUAAGCCGGAGGGUUGGAGUUUUAAGACCCAAUUCGACUCCGGGCUGAUCAAUUAGGUAGUUUUUAGCUGCACAUAGAGUGGCUGUACAUAGAGUGAUCGUCUUCCUCCGAGCUCCGCUGCACAUAGAGUGAGUUCGUCGUCUCUGCUCCACCUGUACAUAGAGUGAGCUCUCAUCCUCUCUGCCCGCUGUGUACAACUCCCCUUGUUUUUGGUCUUUUGGAUAUACAUCAAUA
rnacentral:lncRNA from 1 species